AAAGGUAAAGUAAGUUCAUAAACUAGAAGUUAAUAGUAGUUGUGGCAGUUAGUGUGAUAUGGAAUACCAGUAGAUGUGAAGCUGAAAAAUCAGUGUAUGCCAAAUUUACCUACAUGAAACUGGCCAGCUCCUAUUUAAAGAUGUCUUAUUUCUGUGACUAGCCUACAUGUUCAUCAUAUCAUCAGCAGCAAAGACAGACAAUAAACGAAAGAAAAAAGCCUCCCAGAUAUGCAGCAUUUGCUAAAUCAGCUUGCAUGCAGCCUGCAUCAUCAGUGUGGUCUGCAGUAGAUCUUGUGUUUUAUUAUGAUUUGAGUAACUUGUCUGCCAAGACUCUACAACAUGUGGCAUGUAGUUCAACUUUAGGCUUUUUAAUGCUAAAAUAGAAAACCGUUUUCUCUUAAUCCAGCCACAUGAAAAAAAUGCGUCUAAAAAUGCAAAAGGUUUUAAAAAUGUAGUUGGAAGGACACUGCUGCACUUAUUUUUAUUUUUUUUUUCUUGGAGGACUAGUCAUAUUUAAAUUAAUUUCUCUUGGAGCUUGACCAGAGCUGAACAGAGAGGGAAAUCAAUGUAGGCCCACCAGUCAGGUCAUGGCAGGGACACUUCUCUAACACUCAUUUUUCCCAUCAAAGCUGCUGAUGUGGUGGGACAUACCUGAGUAAGAAGAUGCUGAGUCUGAUAAAACUGAAGUUUGCAUAUGUCAAGUCUUGCACUGAGUUUGAUCCUGACCCACAUUUUCCUCCUAUCUGUCCAUUCUUUCUGUUGCUUUCAUUGCUGUUUCUAUGUCCAGACAUAGAUAAGAUUUCCUCAGGACAGACUACAGCCUACCUGAGUCUGCAGAUUGCACUAGCAAAUUGAGACACCUCAUUUGGAACACAGUCGCCCCAAACUUUCUAUAGGAUUAAUAGAAGGAGGGACAUAACUGGAAGCACAGUACAACUCAGUUUCCUCUCAGUCGGCACAGCCUGGAUCUCACGUGUACUCAUACUAGGAGAAACCUAACUGGGACCAACACUAUUGGCAUUGCACCUUCCUGCACCAUCCUACUUUGAAUCACCGUACAUCCUCCAUUGUUCCUCUUUCUUCUUCAAAUCCUCCAUUAAAAUGUUCCAA